rnacentral:sRNA from 1 species
AUGUUCCAUCCUCACAGACACUUUGGGGGCACCUUCCCCUGCAGUUGCCCAAGCCAAGUAGUCAGCAGGAGCUUCAUGGCUGUUAGCUGGAGCGGAAGGCUGGCUGCCUGGUUGCCACAGCAACAGCUGUUGUGACAGGAACUCCCUCGAAAGGCUUUGAUGAGAAGGCCUACCUGUCGGCCAAGCAGCUGAAGGCUGGAGAGGACCCCUACAGACAGCAUGCCUUCAACCAGCUGGAGAGUGACAAGCUGAGCCCGGACCGGCCCAUCCGGGACACCCGCCAUUACAGCUGCCCAUCUGUGUCCUACUCCUCGGACCUGCCAGCCACCAGCGUCAUCAUCACCUUCCACAAUGAGGCCCGUUCCACCCUGCUGCGCACAGUGAAGAGUGUCCUGAACCGAACUCCUGCCAACUUGAUCCAGGAGAUCAUUUUAGUGGAUGACUUCAGUUCAGAUCUGGAAGACUGUCUACUCCUGACCAGGAUCCCCAAGGUCAAGUGCCUGCGCAAUGAUCGGCGGGA